rnacentral:rRNA from 1 species
GAUGAACGCUGGCGGCGUGCCUAAUACAUGCAAGUCGAGCGAACAGACGAGGAGCUUGCUCCUCUGACGUUAGCGGCGGACGGGUGAGUAACACGUGGAUAACCUACCUAUAAGACUGGGAUAACUUCGGGAAACCGGAGCUAAUACCGGAUAAUAUAUUGAACCGCAUGGUUCAAUAGUGAAAGACGGUUUUGCUGUCACUUAUAGAUGGAUCCGCGCCGCAUUAGCUAGUUGGUAAGGUAACGGCUUACCAAGGCAACGAUGCGUAGCCGACCUGAGAGGCGGAUCGGCCACACUGGAACUGAGACACGGUCCAGACUCCUACGGGAGGCAGCAGUAGGGAAUCUUCCGCAAUGGGCGAAAGCCUGACGGAGCAACGCCGCGUGAGUGAUGAAGGUCUUCGGAUCGUAAAACUCUGUUAUUAGGGAAGAACAAAUGUGUAAGUAACUAUGCACGUCUUGACGGUACCUAAUCAGAAAGCCACGGCUAACUACGUG